rnacentral:ncRNA from 1 species
AUAAUAGUGAUGAUUGGGAGCAAGCUUAACAUCCUGCCCAGAGAGCCGGUGGCUGGUGUGAACCGGUGCAGUGGUCUAAGCAAUACUCGCCCAGGAACUCUGCUGUUGACCUGCGUAUGUAUGCAAUACGCACUAGACAGUGGCGGUACCGGCCGUUAUCCGGUAGCCAUGAAUAACGUCAUGGCUAAAUGAGCCCAAAGUAGGGUGGUACCGCGCGUUUAGCGCCCCUAUG